UCAUGCAGUCGACGGUCUCUUUGGAGGCAGUGGCAGACGGGUGAGUAAUGCAUGGGAAUCUACCGUUCUCUACGGAAUAACUCAGGGAAACUUGUGCUAAUACCGUAUACGCCCUUUUGGGGAAAGAUUUAUCGGAGAAUGAUGAGCCCAUGUUGGAUUAGCUAGUUGGUAGGGUAAAGGCCUACCAAGGCGACGAUCCAUAGCUGGUCUGAGAGGAUGAUCAGCCACACUGGGACUGAGACACGGCCCAGACUCCUACGGGAGGCAGCAGUGGGGAAUAUUGGACAAUGGGCGCAAGCCUGAUCCAGCCAUGCCGCGUGAGUGAUGAAGGCCCUAGGGUUGUAAAGCUCUUUCACCGGUGAAGAUAAUGACGGUAACCGGAGAAGAAGCCCCGGCUAACUUCGUGCCAGCAGCCGCGGUAAUACGAAGGGGGCUAGCGUUGUUCGGAUUUACUGGGCGUAAAGCGCACGUAGGCGGACUUUUAAGUCAGGGGUGAAAUCCCGGGGCUCAACCCCGGAACUGCCUUUGAUACUGGAAGUCUUGAGUAUGGAAGAGGUAAGUGGAAUUGCGAGUGUAGAGGUGAAAUCG
rnacentral:rRNA from 1 species